AUGACUCGAGUGAUGAGUAGCUACUACGUACUGCCUGGAGAAGAAGAACCAAAUCGAACUGUGCACAAUACUUAUAGCAUUGGGAAGGUAAUGUUCUUAACAGCUAUGGCCAAACCUCGCUACAAUGAAGAUGGUGAUAUGACAUUCGAUGGAAAACUUGGCAUUUGGCCGUUCGUGGUAGGGACCGAGGCACAACAAACAAGCCAGAAUAGAGAUAGGGGGACAAUAGAGUUGAGACCGGUGAAAGUUACCAGGCUUGUGUGCAGAGAUUACCUGAUCAAUAAAGUAAUCCCUGCCAUACAAGACAAAUGGCUUGAUGGUGACGAGGACACAAUGAUCUUCAUUCAACAAGAUAAUGCAACACCACAUGUCCUCCCCAACGAUGCUGGUUUUCUAGAAGUUGUGGAACAUACAGAUCUGGAUAUUCGACUAUUGCAACAACCACCGAACAGUCCUGAGCUCAAUGUGUUAGAUCUUUGUUUCCACUGCUCCCUCCAAUCCCUAACCGACUGCAGAGCACCUAUGAAUAUCCAGGAAUUGGUAUAG
rnacentral:rRNA from 1 species